rnacentral:rRNA from 1 species
AUUGAACGCUGGCGGCAUGCCUUACACAUGCAAGUCGAACGGCAGCACGGGAGCAAUCCUGGUGGCGAGUGGCGAACGGGUGAGUAAUAUAUCGGAACGUGCCCAGUCGUGGGGAUAACGUAGCGAAAGCUACGCUAAUACCGCAUACGAUCUAUGGAUGAAAGCGGGGGAUCGCAAGACCUCGCGCGAUUGGAGCGGCCGAUAUCAGAUUAGGUAGUUGGUGAGGUAAGGCUCACCAAGCCGACGAUCUGUAGCUGGUCUGAGAGGACGACCAGCCACACUGGGACUGAGACACGGCCCAGACUCCUACGGGAGGCAGCAGUGGGGAAUUUUGGACAAUGGGCGCAAGCCUGAUCCAGCAAUGCCGCGUGCAGGAUGAAGGCCUUCGGGUU